AGCAAGGUCAGCUAAUAUGAAGCUCUUGGGCUCAUGCCCCAAAUAUGUUGGUUAAAAUCCUUCCCAUGCUA
rnacentral:tRNA from 1 species